rnacentral:tRNA from 1 species
CAUAAAUUAGUUUAUAGAAAAUUAUUCAUUUACAUUGAGUGGAUGUAAGUGCACAAUCUUAUAUUUAUGA